UACGGGGGGAGCAAGCGUUGUUCGGAUUUACUGGGCGUAAAGGGCGCGUAGGCGGCGCAACAAGUCACUUGUGAAAUCUCCGGGCUUAACUCGGAAAGGUCAAGUGAUACUGUUGUGCUAGAGUGCGGAAGGGGCAACUGGAAUUCUCGGUGUAGCGGUGAAAUGCGUAGAUAUCAGGAAGAACACCCGUGGCGAAGGCGGUUCUCUGGGACGGUACUGACGCUGAGACGCGAAAGCGUGGGGAGCGAACAGG
rnacentral:rRNA from 1 species